ensembl:snoRNA
AAGCAACACUCUGUGUCAGAUGAUCGAAGUUGUCUGAUGCAAUUUGAGCUUGCUAUAGCAAGAAAGUCUAACCUAUUCCAGUGGUCUCUUCCAUGAGACCGACUGUUAUAUAGACUUAAACAGC